UACGUAGGGGGCAAGCGUUAUCCGGAUUCACUGGGUUUAAAGGGUGCGUAGGUGGGUUGGUAAGUCAGUGGUGAAAUCCCCGAGCUUAACUUGGGAACUGCCAUUGAUACUAUCAGUCUUGAAUACCGUGGAGGUCAGCGGAAUAUGUCAUGUAGCGGUGAAAUGCUUAGAUAUGACAUAGAACACCAAUUGCGAAGGCAGCUGGCUACGCGAAUAUUGACACUGAGGCACGAAAGCGUGGGGAUCAAACAGG
rnacentral:rRNA from 1 species